AAUGAACGCUGGCGGCGUGGAUUAGGCAUGCAAGUCGAACGCGAAAGUUCCCUUCGGGGAGCGAGUAGAGUGGCGAAAGGGUGAGUAAUGCUUGGAUGACCUGCCCUCGAGACGGGGACAACAGUUCGAAAGGACUGCUAAUACCCGAUAGUCCGGUUUAGAUGCGUCUAGAUCGGUAAAUGGUGCUUCCGCUCGAGGAGGGGUUCAAGUCCUAUCAGCUUGUUGGUGAGGUAACGGCUCACCAAGGCGAUGACGGGUAGCCGGACUGAGAGGUUGGCCGGCCACAUGGGAACUGAGACACUGUCCUGACUCCUACGGGAGG
rnacentral:rRNA from 1 species